rnacentral:rRNA from 1 species
AGAGUUUGAUCAUGGCUCAGGAUGAACGCUGGCGGCGUGCCUAACACAUGCAAGUCGAACGUGAAGGUCGAAAUGAUUACUUCGGUUUGAUUUUCGGCUGGAAAGUGGCGAACGGGUGAGUAACACGUGGGUAACCUGCCUCGAAGCGGGGGACAACCAUUGGAAACGAUGGCUAAUACCGCAUAGUCCCAUUUUUGCGAGAGCAAUGAUGGGUAAAACUCCGGUGCUUCGAGAGGGGCCUGCGUCCGAUUAGCUAGUUGGUGGGGUAAAAGCCCACCAAGGCGACGAUCGGUAGCUGGUCUGAGAGGACGAUCAGUCACACGGGAACUGAGACACGGUCCCGACUCCUACGGGGGGCAGCAGUGAGGAAUAUUGCACAAUGGGGGAAACCCUGAUGCAGCAACGCCGCGUGGAGGAUGAAGGCUUCGGUCGUAAACUCCUUUUCUGGGGGAAGAGACAAGGACGGUACCCCAGGAAUAAGUCACGGCUAACUACGUGCCAGCAGCCGCGGUAAUACGUAGGUGACAAGCGUUAUCCGGAAUUACUGGGCGUAAAGCGCGCGCAGGCGGUUGGUCAAGUCCGGCGUGAAAUCUCCUGGCUCAACUGGGAGAGGUCGUUGGAAACUGAUCGGCUUGAGGCGAUGAGAGGGGUACGGAAUUCCAGGUGUAGUGGUGGAAUGCGUAGAUAUCUGGAGGAACACCAGUGGCGAAAGCGGUACCCUGGCAUUUGCCUGACGCUCAUGUGCGAAAGCGUGGGGAGCGAACGGGAUUAGAUACCCUGGUAGU